CCACGCCGUAAACGAUGAGCACUAGGUGUCGGGUGUAAGCUCGGUGCCGGCGUAAACACAAUAAGUGCUCCGCCUGGGGAGUACGUUCGCAAGAAUAAAACUCAAAGGAAUUGACGGGGACCCGCACAAGUAGCGGAGCAUGUGGUUUAAUUCGAAGCAACGCGAAGAACCUUACCUAAGCUUGACAUACCUUUGCAAUAUGCUUGUAAAGAGCAUACCUGUACUUGUACACAGAGGAUACAGGUGGUGCAUGGUUGU
rnacentral:rRNA from 1 species